rnacentral:rRNA from 1 species
UACGUAGGGUGCAAGCGUUAAUCGGAAUUACUGGGCGUAAAGCGUGCGCAGGCGGCUUUGCAAGACAGAUGUGAAAUCCCCGGGCUCAACCUGGGAACUGCAUUUGUGACUGCAUGGCUGGAGUGCGGCAGAGGGGGAUGGAAUUCCGCGUGUAGCAGUGAAAUGCGUAGAUAUGCGGAGGAACACCGAUGGCGAAGGCAAUCCCCUGGGGCCUGCA